rnacentral:rRNA from 1 species
AUUGAACGCUGGCGGCAGGCCUAACACAUGCAAGUCGAACGAGUGGCGGACGGGUGAGUAAUGUCUGGGAAACUGCCUGAUUGCGGGGGAUAACUACUGGAAACGGUAUCUAAUACCGCAUACCAUCGGAUGUGCCCAGAUGGGAUUAGCUAGUAGGUGGGGUAACGGAUCACCUAGGCGACUAUCCCUAGCUGGUCUGAGAGGAUGACCAGCCAGACGGGAACUGAGAAACGGUCCAGAAUCCUAGGUGAGGCAGCAGUGGGGAAGAUUGUACAAUGGGCGCAAGACUGAUGCAGACAUGCCGCGUGUAUGAAGAAGGCCUUCGGGUUGUAAAGUACUUUCAGCGGGGAGGCGUGAAACGCAAAAGAAGCACCGGCUAACUCCGUGCCAGCAGCCGCGGUAUUAC